GCCAGUGUGGCAUAGUGGUUUAUUUGUUGGACUAGGACUCUCUGGAGACCAGGGUUUGAUUCCCAGCUUGGCCA